ACUAUUCAACUUUCUUGCCUCCAUCACACACUAAAACAUGGCUGCAGGUACAACUAGACAAUGCAUUGGCCUUUUCAUGGACAUUGAGCCCAUGAAACUUUCUUUCUCUUCCCCAACUGCAAUUGCAAGACAAUCAAUCCAUCUCCCCAAUCAUAAAUAUCAAGAACUCGGCUCCUUGUCCAUGAACGGCUGCGGCGGUGAUCCCCGAGCCCCGCUCGGCGUCCUCGAGACCCGGACGCUCGGGGCAGCGCCCACAGCGGCUGUGGCGGCCGACCGCCUCAAUUCCACCGUGUAUGACCUCAAGACGAACUCCCCGACGUCGGAUUCCGGGAUUAUUAGGCUUGAGGUGCCGAUCCUGCAGCAGAUAAAUGCCCUUCAAUGGCUGCAAUGCCAGACCAACACUCUUCUUCCUCGCUGUUACUUUUCCGGCAGAGAUUCCGCCGACAUUGAUCAUUCUCACCCCAAGCUGCUCAGUGUUGCCGGCCUCGGCUCUGCGGUCUCCUUCCGCCGUCUCCGCCCCUUCUCCUUAGACGAUUGGCAUUCCAUCAAAAGGUUCUUGUUCAAAAAGUGUCCGUUGAUUCGUGCUUAUGGCGCAAUCCGAUUUGAUGCAAGGUCUAAUAUUGCUCCCGAGUGGGAGGGUUUUGGUUCUUUCUACUUCAUGGUCCCUCAGGUUGAGUUUAAUGAGUUUGAAGGGAGUUCAAUGCUCGCAGCAACUAUUGCAUGGGACAAUCGCCUGUCAAGGACCUACAGAGAAGCUAUUGCUGCACUUGAAGAUACCAUGUGGCAGGUUUCAUCACUUGUCCAACGAUUAAAUGGAACCUCUCACUGUGCUGUUGCGGUCCACCAUACUCAUGUUCCCAGUAAAGCUUCAUGGGAUUCAGCUGUUAAGCAAGCUCUGGACAAGAUACGUAGGAAAAAUUCAUCACUUGUUAAGGUUGUCCUUGCACGUAGCAGCAGAGUACUAACCACAGUAGAGAUUGACCCUUUGGAGUGGCUGACAACCUUACAGGUAGAAGGGGCCAAUAAUGCUUAUCAGUUCUGUCUUCAGCCUCCUGAAUCACCAGCAUUCAUUGGAAACACUCCAGAGAGACUUUUCUAUCGAAACCAGCUUAGUAUCUUCAGCGAGGCUUUGGCUGGAACACGAGCUAGAGGUGGAACUGAGUCUCUAGAUUUACAGAUAGGACAAGAUUUACUUUCCAGUGCCAAAGACCACCAUGAGUUCUGUGUAGUAAGAGAAAGUAUAAGAAGAAAGCUAGAGGAUAUUUGUUCCAGCACAGUUGUUAAGCCUAGCAAGGUUCUACGUAAACUUCCACGUGUUCAACAUCUUUAUGCUAAACUGACCGGCACACUGCAGAAAGAAGAUGACGAGUUUAAGAUUUUGUCUUCUCUGCAUCCAACUCCUGCUGUUUGUGGGCUUCCGACAGAGGAGGCGCGUAUAUUGAUAUCAAAAACUGAAAAGUUUGAUCGAGGAAUGUAUGCUGGACCUGUUGGGUGGUUUGGUGGUGCAGAGAGUGAGUUUGCUGUGGGGAUAAGGUCAGCAUUGGUUGAAAAGGGAUCUGGCGCAAUACUCUAUGCUGGAACCGGGAUAGUAGAAGGGAGCAAUUCUUCCCUAGAAUGGCAAGAACUGGAUCUGAAGAUAUCACAGUUCACCAAAUUGAUGGGGUGCGAUACACCUCGUGUCAAUGAGGGAGAAAAUUGAACUCUAACUUCAAAAGGUCAGUGGUUCUGAACAACUCAUCCACACUCACUAUGGACUAGUUAUACAUCAAGUUGCUAUCAUUCAGUCGUUAUAUAUAUUACCCGGUCAUCAGUUUCAUCUGUCCGACUUCGUUCUGAAUGAAUGCUUUUCGUUCUCCACAACAUUUUUGGUGACAGAAAGCAAAAGAAAAAAAAGAUAUGAGGGAGGACCAUAUUGGUCCCUUCAAUGGUAAAUAGGUUGUCAAAUAUGUCCUCCAUUUUUUCUGUAUAUAGCUGGUUAGGGAUCAGCCAUUAUUUUAUCACACUGUAUACACACACAUAUAUAUAUAUAUAGAGAGAGAGACGGACAUAUUUCUUGAGAUUGAAUGUAUGUAGCAGCAACAGAAUACAUUGUAAAUCAAACCUUUUCCUGUUUCUGUGUUUUACUUGAAACUGAUUGGGAAAUAUCCUGUUUCUUGUCUGCAAAACUGUAAUAUCUUCUCUUGCUGACAUACCUUUCUUUUCAAUCUCGAUUUUGGUCUGAUAAUAUCAGGGGACUUCUUCAAAUCUUGGGGUUAGGAUCUUGAGAUUGUUUGAUAAAUGCCAUAACUUCAUCUUCACUUCUCUUCUAUCUAUGCCAUCUUCGUGCCCAGUUGAGUUCAUCGAUGCGUUCUCAGCUGCAUACAGGGGAAAAUAAUCACUAAUAAUCAUAUAUACAUUUUCUUUCUUUCUUUUUGUAUAUAAGAUCAUGUAAAAUAUCAUAUAAGAGAACUUCCCCAAUAUUAAUAUAGAUAUAUACCUCUGUUUAUACAAAAAUACACCUUUAAAUAUUUGUCUAUAUUUCCUACUGUGUUACUUUAGUUAGUUUUUUACCUUCACUCAAUUACAUUUUAAACAAAAUUAUAAUAUAAAUAUAAAAUGGUGGUUUCGUUUUCAGCGCUUUUUGAUUUUCAAUAAUUCUCAAUGUAUUAAAUUAGAAAGCCAAGCAAAGAAUAAGGCUCUGUUUUUCUCUUGGCCAAAACCAAACAAGGAAAGUUAGGAACAGAUACAUAUUGUAUUUGUAAAGUAAAGCUUAUUAUUUAUUCUCCUUUAUAAGCUUCUGCUAUUCAUCAAACAUCAUUUUCAAUUUCAUUGCAAAAUUUUGCCAAAAUAUCAUAAAUGGAGCCAAGAAAUAUGAAAUUUGAGUAUGUUUUGCCUUCCUCUUGGUGGGCUGAGACUGCUGAUUCCUAUUGUUUGCUCAUUGAAAUUCCAGGAUUCAAGGAGGAAGUGAGGAUUCGAGCCGAUGACCACGGUCACGUCAUCAUGAGCGGAGAAAGGCAGGCCAACGAAAGCACCAUCCUACACUUCAAGCAGGCAUAUAAGGUACCCGAAGAUUGCAACAUACAAGAAACCAAUGCCAUCUUAGAGGACAACACCUACUACGUCAAAAUUGCCAAGAAACUCAACAACCUCAGUUCACGAAGACCGUCAUGCUCAAGAGAGCAGCACGUCUAAUGGAACCGCGAAGAAAUAGCCAAGGGAGAGAGGCCGGACACCAGUUUCCUGCAGAAACGAUCAAAGAUGGUGAAGACGAAGAGAUGCUUUGUUUUGACAUCUUUACUAGCAUUUUCACUAGGAGUUCUUGUAUCUCACCGUUACCGGUCCCACUACACCGGUUAUAAUCGAAACAUCUCAACAAAGACUGUUUUACACAUACGAUAUAGCCAUUAUUUAGUUAUGUUCUUGAAAA